CAGCCGCCGCGGUAAUACCGGCGGCCCGAGUGGCGGUCACUAUUAUUGGGCUUAAAACGUCCGUAGCCGGGUUGGGAAGUCCUCCGGGAAAUCUGGCCGCUUAACGGUCAGAAUGCCGGAGGAUACUCCCAGCCUAGGGAGCGGGAGAGGCCGAGGGGAUUCCCGGAGUAGGGGGGAAAUCCUAUAAUCCCGGGAGGGCCACCUGUGGCGAAGGCGCUCGGCUGGAACGCGUCCGACGGGGAGGGACGAAGGCCAGGGGAGCAAACCGGAUUAGAUACCCGGGUAGUCCUGGCUGUAAACGAUGCGGACGUUGUGUCGGACAAGCUAUGAGCUUGUCCGGUGCCGGAGGGAAACCGUUAAGUCCGCCGCCUGGGGAGUACGGCCGCAAGGCUGAAACUUAAAGGAAUUGGCGGG
rnacentral:rRNA from 1 species